rnacentral:rRNA from 1 species
UACGUAGGGUGCGAGCGUUGUCCGGAAUCAUUGGGCGUAAAGCGCGCGUAGGCGGCCCGGUAAGUCCGUUGUGAAAGUCAAAGGCUCAACCUUUGAACGCCGAUGGAUACUGCCGGGCUAGAGUCCGGAAGAGGCGAGUGGAAUUCCUGGUGUAGCGGUGGAAUGCGCAGAUAUCAGGAGGAACACCAAUAGCGAAGGCAGCUCGCUGGGACGGUACUGACGCUGAGGCGCGAAAGCGUGGGGAGCAAACAGG